rnacentral:rRNA from 1 species
GACGAACGCUGGCGGCGUGCUUAACACAUGCCAGUCGAACGGUGAAGCGCCUUCCUUUUUGGUGGGUGUGGAUGAGUGGCGAACGGGUGAGUAACACGUGAGUAACCUGCCCCCUUCUUCUGGAUAACCGCAUGAAAGUGUGGCUAAUACGGGAUAUUCUGGGUCUGUCGCAUGAUGGGUCUGGGAAAGAUAUUGUUUCGGUGGGGGAUGGGCUCGCGGCCUAUCAGCUUGUUGGUGGGGUGAUGGCCUACCAAGGCGGUGACGGGUAGCCGGCCUGAGAGGGUGGACGGUCACACUGGGAGUGAGACACGGCCCAGACUCCUACGGGAGGCAGCAGUGGGAAAUAUUGCACAAUGGGCGCAAGCCUGAUGCAGCGACGCCGCGUGAGGGAUGGAGGCCUUCGGGUUGUAAACCUCUUUCGCCAGUGAAGCAGGCCUGCCUCGUUUGUGGGUGGGUUGACGGUAGCUGGAUAAGAAGCGCCGGCUAACUACGUG